rnacentral:other from 1 species
CCGAUCCUGCGGUGCUCGUGAUGCAUUCGAUGUCUUGAGCCAACAGAAAGAGCGUCGGGAGCUGCGCGUCGGGGUGAAAAUGCCUUGGCGGUGCGGCGCCCACCUGCGAGAGCAGGUUCAAGGCUCCGAUGCACACGGCACAGGUGGGUGAGGC